rnacentral:tRNA from 1 species
GGCAGCUUAGUUUAAUGGUAAAACACUUGACGUGUAAUCACAGAGAUGUGAGUUCGAGUCUCAUGGCUGGCCA